CCUACGGGUGGCAGCAGUGGGGAAUAUUGGGCAAUGGGCGCAAGCCUGACCCAGCAACGCCGCGUGAAGGAAGAAGGCUUUCGGGUUGUAAACUUCUUUUCUCAGGGACGAAGCAAGUAACGGUACCUGUGGAAUAAGCCACGGCUAACUACGUGCCAGCAGCCGCGGUAAUACGUAGGUGGCAAGCGUUAUCCGGAUUUACUGGGUGUAAAGGGCGUGUAGGCGGGAAAGCAAGUCAGAUGUGAAACCCAUGGGCUCAACCUGUGGCCUGCAUUUGAAACUGUUUUUCUUGAGUGCUGGAGAGGCAGACGGAAUUCCUAGUGUAGCGGUGAAAUGCGUAGAUAUAAGGAGGAACACCAGUGGCGAAGGCGGUCUGCUGGACAGCAACUGACGCUGAGGCGCGAAAGCGUGGGGAGCAAACAGGAUUAGAUACCCGAGUAGUC
rnacentral:rRNA from 1 species